rnacentral:rRNA from 1 species
UACGGAGGGUGCAAGCGUUAUCCGGAUUCACUGGGUUUAAAGGGUGCGUAGGAGGGCAGGUAAGUCAGUGGUGAAAUCUUCGAGCUUAACUCGGAAACUGCCGUUGAUACUAUCUGUCUUGAAUACCGUGGAGAUGAGCGGAAUAUGUCAUGUAGCGGCGAAAUGCUUAGAUAUGACAUAGAACACCAAUUGCGAAGGCAGCUGGCUACACAAAUAUUGACACUGAGGCACGAAAGCGUGGGGAUCAAACAGG